rnacentral:sRNA from 1 species
UUAGACUUCAGAGACAAUAAUAAGAUUUA